UCUAUUUCCCUGCACAGAGUGGAGUGAACAGCAUUAGCACACAACUGGCCAAGGGCCUGGAAAGAGGAUGUUUGUGCAACACUAAUAGAAGCUUCUGUGUAACAUCACAGUGUUCUCAGCAUUUCCUCGGGCAGAAGCCACAUCCUGGAAACAAGUCGUGUACAGGUACAUGAAGAUGUAGCUGGCAACGUCUCUGUUUGUUCCAUUGAAAGCACAAAAAGCACAGGUCCUGAGGUCAGGAGGACUGUGUGCUGGUCCUGGUUCUGCCUGUAAAUGCUUAGGUGACUUUGGCCAAGUCCCUUCUCCUGGGGACUCAGUUUUUCCAUUUUAAAAAUAGGAAUAAUAAUUUUCUCCCAUACAAUGGUUAUGAGGGUUGAAUUUGUUAACAUUUGUAAAAUGCUUUAAAAAGCAUCCGUUGUGUUUUUAACCCAAAAAGUGUCACUAAUCUUUACAGUAACCUUUUUAGAUAGGCAUUCUCUAGAGGAAUCUAAGGCUCAGAUAGUCAGUGAUGUGUUCAAGGUAAUAUACCCGGCCAUCACCCCACUUUUCCACUGGCACCAGGGCCAGGUCAGCUAUAAAAUGACUUCCAAUUCUGACAUUUAGAGAUUCCAUCUUUAUAAACUGACACCUUUGCCUGGAUUACGUGUGUCCCUGAGUUCUGGUGGCACCAGCUAGAUGCAGGAAAGGUUCACUCGCAAGGGGAUCUCCAAUUCUGUUGGUAAUGUGAAAGACCAUUUUCAGCACUGGCAUCUUGCUCUGUGUUUGUCGUGGCCUUGGAGGCUCUGACAGACCCUGACUAUGUAACCUAGAGCUACUGGGCCUCCUUUGCAUUAAUGACGUGGAGUCUGGUUCUUCCAGCUCUGCAGCAAUUCAAAUACAUUCUGAGGUUGCCAAAAUAAAUGUCGAAUCCUGAUGCUCUAUUUGUAGUCCCUGUGUAGGUCAACAUCCCACAGCUUUCCAAGCUACUACAAAUAUUACUGCUUGCUCCUCCCUUGUCCUCCUGUGUAAUUGAUCACCGAUCCUGUCUUCAAGGUCCCCAUCUCUCAAGAACAUUGCACCUGACCAGACUGAGAGCCAGUGUGAACAUGAGCCCCAAACUAAGGCUUUUGGAACAACAAGGAACAGCAAAAACCAGUCUCUCCGACACAACAUAUCUACAACCACACGAUCUUUGACAAACCUGACAAAAACAAGCAAUGAGGAAAGGAUUCCCUGUUUAAUAAAUGAU
rnacentral:lncRNA from 1 species